AUGUGCUUGCAAACCAAGACUUUGUUGAGGCUUUUCUGCGGGGUCAGGGGAGACGCCAGUGAUCAAGCGGCAGCGGCCUACAGCCUGGGAGACCUGCACAAGGGAGCUGCCAAGAUCUCCAACGACAUCCUCGACUCUGUCGGGGUUUCAUUAUAUGCAACAACAAAAAAUUCGACAACAGUAUACGCGACAAAUGGUGCUAUUUGCGUCUGCUGCAAUCUCCUCAUACUUACCAGGGUUGAGUGCCCAACAUUCCCGAAGAUGGCACCCGAGACGUGUCCGCAGCCAGAAGCAGCGAAGUUGCGGUACAAGAAGCUGGGAGAUUCAGAUCUCCUUAUUAGCGAGAUAACUCUUGGAACAGGCAUCAACAUACUGGACACCGCAGAAAUUGCCGUUUUCUAA
rnacentral:rRNA from 1 species